rnacentral:rRNA from 1 species
AUUGAACGCUGGCGGCAGGCCUAACACAUGCAAGUCGAGCGGCAGCGACAACAUUGACUCUUCGGAGGAUUUGUUGGGCGGCGAGCGGCGGACGGGUGAGUAAUGGCUGGGAACCUGCCCUGACGUGGGGGAUAACAGUUGGAAACGACUGCUAAUACCGCAUGAUGUCUUCGGACCAAAGAGGAGGACCUUCGGGCUUCUCGCGUCGGGAUGGGCCCAGUUGGGAUUAGCUAGUUGGUGAGGUAAUGGCUCACCAAGGCGACGAUCCCUAGCUGGUUUGAGAGGAUGAUCAGCCACACUGGAACUGAGACACGGUCCAGACUCCUACGGGAGCAGCAGUGAGGAAUAUUGACAAUGGGCGAAGCCUGAUCAGCAUCCGCGUGGUGAG